AUGUGUGUGGAACACGAAAGAGGGACCAGCUUUGGAAAUUAUAAGAACAACAACUUCCCUAAUCUUCUGAAAAUCCAGUACCCCCCAACACCUGAGGUUGGCAGACUGGAAUCACUAUUUUCAAAUGUUGUCAGUCAUUGCAUAUUUGUGUCAUCCAAGGAAAUCUUCACAGUGCACAGGGAGACUACACACUUUCCAGUGGAGCUCAUUCUCCUUCAUUUCUUCUCAAACCCUGGUUGCUCCAAGAUGUCACAGUCCUGGAUCCUUUUUAAGCUAAAGAAACCACAAGAUGUCCUUUAAAGUUUGCUUUCUUUUUCAUCCUAAUAUUUUUUAAGUGGUUGAUUGACGGUAGACUACAUAUACGCAGCCAUGAAUGGGAUUUUCAAAGGAAAUAGUAUAACUAAUUGACAUUGGAUAUAAGUGGGUUUUAGGCACACGCUUUGCUAGAAUUAGUUGGAAAACCUCACUGUAAUUCUUCAGGCUCAGUGGGUGGGAUUUUCACAGGAACAGUUACCUAACUAUGCAAGUUAGGUAACUAAAAAGUGGAUCUGACAUCCCAACUUUCUUUAUCAUUUCCAAUAACUUCAGAACCAUUUCAUUAUGACUCUCUGCAAAUUGAAUUUGCUUUCUUUGUGUCUCUUGAAUUAUGACAAUUAUGAAGUGUUGUUUGGAAGGUACAACUGAAAGUCUUUAGCUCAACCUCUUUCAAAUCAGGAGCAACCAAAUGAUAACAACUGCCAGAUCAAGUUUUAUCUAUGUUCUAGACAAUUCUUAAAAAUCUCUGGGAAUGGAGAUUCCACAAUUUCUUCCAAGCCAUCUUUUCCACUUUAGCUUCCAAUAGCUUAAGCUAUUCUCCUAAUGUUUCUUGCCAUAUGGAAACCAAACAUAUUGGUCCUCACCUGAUUUCCAUCUAACACUACCAGUGAAUGUUUCACACUGUUUUCACUGAUCAAGAAUUACACAGAGAUGAUCUUAUCCUGAAGUACAAAGAUUUUCUGAAUAAUACUUUAUGCUCCUUUCCAGCCUGUGUCCAUAUGUGAUAGGGAAAGUUACGGAAUAUAUUAAAACUAUGUUAGGCUACAAGUAAGAGGUUUUUUUGUUUUUCAAACAAUUAUAGACGCUUAAAAACCUAGUUCUUGGUGAACC
rnacentral:lncRNA from 1 species